GCUAUCCUAAGCACAAAUUAAAAUUUAAAAGUUGAAAAGAUCUGACCAAUGGGAUGCAAUCCAACAGACAAGAAUGCCAUAUAGAAAACUCACUUUCCCUUUGGACUUUGAAUCAAGCAAUAAUCAAUAAGAAAUUAGCAAUAUCCAAAUAUCAAGAAGAUCAAGGCAUCAAAUAAAGAUAGCCAUAUACAAGCAUGCAAAUCCAUAGCUAUCAGUCUUCUUUGUCUUCUCAUGUACCAGAUAAAAUAUUC
rnacentral:lncRNA from 1 species